GCCAGGGAGCAUGCCUCUUUGAGCAUCGUUUCUACCAAACUCGUUAGCUUUCUUGGCAACAAGGAGGCGAGCGGAUAAUGUGCUUCUCGCAGGAAACUGUGAGUGGCAUUAAGAAGCGUGAGACUUGUUUUAACUCUCUAGUGUUCGACCUCUUCAUUGAGGGCGCCUUCCGACUCGGAAGAUUGCACUGGCGACGUAGAUAAUUAAUUUUCUCAACGUUGCUGGCGUAGUCGGAUGUGUCAGACACGGCUAAGACUCUGGAACCGAAACUCGACUCGUAUGAAAAUUAAUCAACAUCAUUUCGGUGGUGUUUUUUGAAUUAGAUCUCAAAUGAAGCAAGAUUACCCGCUGAACUUAAGCAUAUUAUUAAGCGGAGGAAAAGAAACUAACAAGGAUGCCCUCAGUAACGGCGAGUGAAGCGGGCAAAGCUCAACCUGAAAAUCGGAUUCCUUAGCGGGAUUUCGAAUUGUGGGCUACAGACGCGUGAUCAGUGUGUGACCCAGGUAUAAAUCUCUUUGAAACGAGGUAUCAUAGAGGGUGAGAAUCCCGUCUGUGACUUGGAGUUCGCCGCGUACGAUCCGUGUU
rnacentral:rRNA from 1 species